UACGUAGGGUGCAAGCGUUGUCCGGAAUUAUUGGGCGUAAAGAGCUCGUAGGCGGUUUGUCGCGUCGACUGUGAAAACCCGAGGCUUAACCUCGGGCCUGCAGUCGAUACGGGCAGACUAGAGUUCGGUAGGGGAGACUGGAAUUCCUGGUGUAGCGGUGAAAUGCGCAGAUAUCAGGAGGAACACCGGUGGCGAAGGCGGGUCUCUGGACAGUUCCUGACGCUGAGGCACGAAGGCCAGGGGGAGCAAACGGG
rnacentral:rRNA from 1 species